GAUCAUGGCUCAGGACGAACGCUGGCGGCAUGCUUAACACAUGCAAGUCGAACGGACUGAUUCCCUUCGGGGAUGAAAGUUAGUGGCGAACGGGUGAGUAAUGUAUGAGCAACCUGCCUCUGUCAACGGGAUAACAGUUGGAAGCGACUGAUAAUACGGUAUAUGACCACGGCACCGCAUGGUGCUGCGGUAAAAGAUUUUAUCGGACAGAGAUGGGCUCAUAUCCCA
rnacentral:rRNA from 1 species